rnacentral:rRNA from 1 species
UACGGAGGGUGCGAGCGUUGUCCGGAAUCAUUGGGCGUAAAGAGCGUGUAGGCGGCCUGAUAAGUCGGCUGUGAAAGUCAAGGGCUCAACCCUUGAAUGCCGGCCGAUACUGUCAGGCUAGAAUCCGGAGGAGGCGAGUGGAAUUCCUGGUGUAGCGGUGAAAUGCGCAGAUAUCAGGAGGAACACCUAUGGCGAAGGCAGCUCGCUGGGACGGUAUUGACGCUGAGACGCGAAAGCGUGGGGAGCGAACAGG